GCGUCUGUACCUCAGUGGCACAGCACUGGACUUGUAAGCCAGAAGUCGUGAGUUCAAUCCUUACAGGAGGCA